rnacentral:rRNA from 1 species
AUGUCCCACAUAUCAGAUAUUAAACUGAUAAGAACAAAUACUACACUUGAUCUUAGCCAAAAGGCCGAGAAAGGUAUGCUUUGAAACUCGAGUGCGGGUCUCCUUUUAUAGCUAUCUCAACCGUUCUGUUGUGUUGCGCGGGCGAGGUGGUACUAA